rnacentral:rRNA from 1 species
UACGUAGGGUGCGAGCGUUGUCCGGAAUUAUUGGGCGUAAAGGGGCUCGUAGGCGGUUUGUCGCGUCGGGAGUGAAAUCCACUGGCUUAACUGGUGGCUUGCUUUCGAUACGGGCAGACUGGAGGUAUGCAGGGGAGAACGGAAUUCCUGGUGUAGCGGUGAAAUGCGCAGAUAUCAGGAGGAACACCGAUGGCGAAGGCAGAUCUCUGGGCCGUAACUGACGCUGAGGAGCGAAAGCAUGGGGAGCGAACAGG